rnacentral:rRNA from 1 species
AUAGAGACUCAGAGCUGCAUAUCAAUAAGCGGAGGAAAAGAAACUAACAAGGAUUCCCCUAGUAACGGCGAGUGAAGCGGGAAGAGCUCAAAUUUGAAAUCUUAAAGGGUUUCCCUUUACGAAUUGUAGUUUAAAGAAGUGUUUUCUGUUGGAGUUUCGGUAAAAGUUCUUUGGAAUAGGACAUCAUAGAGGGUGAGAAUCCCGUAUUUGACCGUUACUUUCCAGCUUUGUGAUACACUUUCAAAGAGUCGGAUUGUUUGGGAAUGCAGUCCAAAAUGGGUGGUAAAUUUCAUCUAAAGCUAAAUAUUGGCGAGAGACCGAUAGCGAACAAGUACCGUGAGGGAAAGAUGAAAAGAACUUUGAAAAGAGAGUUAAACAGUACGUGAAAUUGUCAAAAGGGAAGCGUUUGACACCAGUGUUGUUUUUUCGAAAAUCAACUAAAUAAUGAUUAAUUUUGGAGUAGUAUUGACUUCAUCAGCUUGCUGCUUUCUUUUCAGAUAUUAUUUAAUGCACUUUUCAGUUAACAAGUCAACAUCAAUUUCUUUUGUUGUAAAAGGGUAAGAGGAAGGUGGCUUACGUUUCGGCGUAAGUGUUUAUAGCCUUUUACCUCUGCAAUCGGAGAGAUUGAGGACAGUAGCGUAGACUCCUUCUGGGGUUAGAUACACUUGUGCUAAGCUAUAGCCUUGUAUAGACAACUUGUUGACUAUGCUCAGUCAUGUGGCUUACUCGCUUGCGCUAUUUUACCUACGCUUAGGAUGUUGAUAGUCACAGCGUGUAC